GAACGUAUGGCUGGCUUAGUUGGUCAGAGCGCUUGGACAGUUUCCAAAGAGGGCGGGUUCAAAUCCCGUUACGUUCA
rnacentral:tRNA from 1 species